rnacentral:rRNA from 1 species
AUGGACAAGAUUCGUGCCUUGUUGGUCAACCGCUCUUCUACCACUUCGUCCUACUCAAGACGGAGCCGCUCGAGUCGACACUUCGACGACACUAUCUCCGGCUCAAGUACCCCGACAUCGAACACUCUUCGUCGUGCUGCGCGUCAAGAUCCUCAAGCAAACCGCAAUCCUCUACACGACAAUGACUCUCAAGAGCAAGCUCGCGCGCAAGAACAUCGACACCGUCAAAACCAAGCUACCUUCGCGCAAGCACGAGAACGACAACGUCAACGACAACAACAAGAGGAAGAGCAUGCGCGACAACACCAAGAUGCACAAGAUGCCGAGGCACAACGCCAAGAACAACAACUACAUGAAGCUCAAGCACUUGAGGCGCAGCGUGCUCUUCGAGAUUCAAGUCAUGUCGUAGCCACUCGCAACCGACAAGCUCUUGAGCAACAAGAAGCGCUUCGUGAUGAAGUUCAAGAACGAAUAUAUCAAGCUCGGGUGCAUCGUCAAGUUUGA